rnacentral:rRNA from 1 species
UGGGGAAUAUUGCGCAAUGGGCGAAAGCCUGACGCAGCGACGCCGCGUGAGGGACGAAGGCCUUCGGGUUGUAAACCUCUUUCAGCAGGGAAGAAGCGAAAGUGACGGUACCUGCAGAAGAAGCACCGGCUAACUACGUGCCAGCAGCCGCGGUAAUACGUAGGGUGCAAGCGUUGUCCGGAUUUAUUGGGCGUAAAGAGCUCGUAGGCGGUUUGUUACGUCGGAUGUGAAAACCCGGGGCUCAACCCCGGGCCUGCAUUCGAUACGGGCAGACUUGAGUGUGGUAGGGGAGACUGGAAUUCCUGGUGUAGCGGUGAAAUGCGCAGAUAUCAGGAGGAACACCGAUGGCGAAGGCAGGUCUCUGGGCCACUACUGACGCUGAGGAGCGAAAGCGUGGGGAGCAAACAGG